AAUUGUGUAGUUGACUUCAAUAGAUAAUAUUAUUGGUAUUCAAAGAAUUUGUUCAAGAAAUAUCCUGUCAAAAUGCUGACUUCCACAAAUAUGUUUAAAUUUUUUCUAUGUUGAAAUUUUAACAUCGAACUUUUGCUGCCUGCUAAUCAAAGAGCAAAUAAUUUAGGCAUUUCAUAUUGCCAGUAUCAUAAAAUAUCCAACAUUUUUAAAGCCUCAACUUUAACAAUUGGCUUUAACAGCAACAAUAGGCAUUAUUGUAACAGGAAUGUCCAUGACGAAGUCUCUGCGGACCAGCAACUUAUUGCAUCACUUAAGGGCAAGAUUAAAUUGCAAGGAGAGAUGAUACAGCAGCUGGAGUCAUCAGGCGCACCCAAAGCAGACGUCAAGAAAGCAGCGGCCAACCUGCGUUCUCUCAUCAAAAUGGACCCCAGAGCCGAGUUUGAUCGCCAGCAGAUGCAUAGAGUUGCUGCGACAC